GACGAACGCUGGCGGCAUGCUUAACACAUGCAAGUCGAACGGUAAGGCCCUUUUGGGGGUACACGAGUGGCGAACGGGUGAGUAACGCGUGAGUAACCUGCCCUUCACUUCGGGAUAACAGUUGGAAACGGCUGCUAAUACUGGAUAUUCAGGCAUGAUCGCAUGGUUGUGUUUGGAAAGCUUUGGUGGUGGGGGAUGGACUCGCGCCCUAUCAGCUUGUUGGUGGGGUGAUGGCCUACCAAGGCUUCGACGGGUAGCCGGCCUGAGAGGGCGACCGGCCACAUUGGGACUGAGAUACGGCCCAGACUCCUACGGGAGGCAGCAGUGGGGAAUAUUGCACAAUGGGCGGAAGCCUGAUGCAGCAACGCCGCGUGCGGGAUGACGGCCUCGGUUGUAACGCUUCGUCCUACUGACGAAGCGUUUGUUGUACGGUAGGUAGGAGGAAGAAGACACCGGCGUAACGUAACCGUAGUCCAGCAGCCGCGGUAACGUAGUCUACG
rnacentral:rRNA from 1 species